GCCAAAACAAACAAACAAACAACCCACCUUAAAAAGUUAAAUACAGGUUGAGAACAAUUGCUCUCAGCUUAACUUGAUUAUGUUAAUUAAUUAGGCAAUUUGAAAGAAAAGGUGAUUGGACCUGUGGAGCAAAGGGGAAGUAUUAACAAGGAGAGGGGUGACAAGCUCACUAACCUUUGUGGCAGAGAGGAAGACACAGAUAAUUAUCAUUUGUGGAAUAUUAAGGCAACAUUUGGGAGUAGAAGUUUGGGUAGGCAAUUCUGAAUAAUCCUGCCUGAUAACCUACUUACUGCCAAUACCCAAGUACAUCCAAUGCUGUGACUUCUUGGACAAAACAAAAACUUCCUGCUGACUAAUGUCUGCUUUGCCCCAAUCUGCCGGAUGCUCUGAUGAUGCUGACACCUGAAAUUCAAGGCCCAGUUUUGCAGUGUGGUGAGUGCAGUCAGCUGAAAGCGCUCCGUGAUGCUCAAGAGAUGCUGAAUGCCUUGCAGGAUGGGAUCCUUG
rnacentral:lncRNA from 1 species